GAUGUGAUUGGUCCACAUAUUUAUCAGAUGUGAUUGGUCCACAUAUUUAACAGAUGUGAUUGGUCCACAUAUUUAUCAGAUGUUAUUGGUCCACAUAUUUAUCAGAUGUUAUUGGUCCACAUAUUUAUCAGAUGUGAUUGGUCCACAUAUUUAUCAGAUGUGAUUGGUCCACAUAUUUAUCAGAUGUGAUUGGUCCACAUAUUUAUCAGAUGUUAUUGCGGGUGUAGUGAAAUGCUUGGUGUUCCUAACUCCGACAGUGCAGUAGUAUCUAACAAUUCACAACAAUACACACACACACACACACACACACACACACACACACACACACACACACACACACACACACACACACACACACACACACACACACACACACACACACACACACACACACAUCUGAAAGUAAAAUAAUGUAAUUAAUAAAUAUAUAAAUAUUAGAUUGAGAGAUGUCGGAGUGGCAUUAGAACACGGUAGAUUACAGGAUAUACAUGAUGAAUAAAGCAAUAUGUGAACAUGAUUAAUAUCACGUUUCAGGACCCAGAUGCAGACGGUGUCGAAGAAACCAAAUGUUUGUUUCUAAAACGGGGGGUAGGCAAACGACAGGUCAAAGGCAGGCAGGGGUCAGUAAUUCAGUAAGGUGGGGUAAGGUACAGGCAGGCAGGCUCAGGGUCAGGGCAGGCAGAGGUCAAUAAUUCAGUAAGGUGGGGUCCGUUUUUUAUUUAUUUUAUUAAUUUAUUUCACCUUUAUUUAACCAGGUAGACUAGUUGAGAACAAGUUCUCAUUUACAACUGCGACCUGGCCAAGAUAAAGCAAAGCAGUUCGACACAAACAACAACACAGAGUUACACAUGGAAUAAACAAAACAUACCAGUCAAUAAUACAGUAGAAAAGUCUAUAUACAGUGUGUGCAAAUGACGGGAGGAGGUAAGGCAAUAAAUAGGCCACAGUAGCAAAGUAAUUACAAUUUAGCAGAUUAACACUGGAGUGAUAGAUGAGCAGAUGAUGAUGUGCAAGUAGAGAUACUGGUGUGGGGGGUAUUGUGAUGUCAUUAUGGGGUAUUGUGAUGUCAUUAUAGAGAUACUGGUGUGGGGGGUAUUGUGAUGUCAUUAUGGGGUAUUGUGAUGUCAUUAUAGUUAUACUGGUGUGCAAAAGAGCAGCAAAGUAAAUAAGAACAAUAUGGGGAUGAGGUAGGUAGAUUGGAUGGGCUAUUUACAGAUGGACUAUGUACAGUCGCGGCCAAACGUUUUGAGAAUGACACAAAUAUACAUUUCCACAAAGUCUGCCGCUUCAGUGUCUUUAGAUAUUUUUGUCAGAUGUUACUAUGGAAUACUGAAGUAUAAUUACAAGCAUUUCAUAAAGUGUCAAAGGCUUUUAUUGACAAUUACAUGAAGUUGAUGCAAAGAGUCAAUAUUUGCAGUGUUGACCCUUCUUUUUCAAGACGUCUGCAAUCCGCCCUGGCAUGCUGUCAAUUAACUUCUGGGCCACAUCCUGACUGAUGGCAGCCCAUUCUUUCAUAAUCAAUGCUUGGAGUUUGUCAGAAUUUGUGGGGUUUUGUUUGUCCACCCGACUCUUGAGGAUUGACCACACGUUCUCAAUGGGAUUAAGGUCUGGGGAGUUUCCUGGCCAUGGACCCAAAAUAUCGAUGUUUUGUUCCCCGAGCCACUUAGUUACCACUUUGCCUUAUGGCAAGGUGCUCCAUCAUGCUGGAAAAGGCAUUGUUCGUCGCCAAACUGUUCCUGGAUGGUUGGGAGAUGUUGCUCUCGGAGGAUGUGUUGGUACCAUUCUUUAUUCAUGGCUGUGUUCUUAGGCAAAAUUGUGAGUGAGCCCACUCCCUUGGCUGAGAAGCAACCCCACACGUGAAUGGUCUCAGGAUGCUUUACUGUUGGCAUGACACAGGACUGAUGGUAGCGCUCACCUGGUCUUCUCCGGACAAGCUUUUUUCCGGAUGCCCCAAACAAUCGGAAAGGGGAUUCAUCAGAGAAAAUGACUUUACCCCAGUCCUCAGCAGUCCAAUCCCUGUACCUUUUGCAGAAUAUCAGUCUGUCCCUGAUGUUUUUCCUGGAGAGAAGUGGCUUCUUUGCUGCCCUUCUUGACCCCAGGCCAUCCUCUAAAAGGCUUUGCCUCACUGUGAGUGCAGAUGGACUCACAACUGCCUGCUGCCAUUCCUGAGCAAGCUCUGUACUGGUGGUGCCCCGAUCACGCAGCUGAAUCAACUUUAGGAGACGGUCGUGGCGCUUGCUGGACUUUCUUGGGCGCCCUGAAACCUUCUUCACAACAAUUGAACCGCUCUCCUUGAAGUUCUUGAUGAUCCGAUAAAUGGUUGAUUUAGGUGCAAUCUUACUGGCAGCAAUAUCCUUGCCUGUGAAGCCCUUUUUGUGCAAAGCAAUGAUGACGGCACGUGUUUCCUUUGCAGGUAACCAUGGUUGACAGAGGAAGAACAAUGAUUCCAAGCACCACCCUCCUUUGGUCUUACUAGUGUCCAGUCAUUAGGUUUAUGUAACCAGUGUCUUACUAGUGUCUAGUCAUUAGGUUUAUGUAACCAGUGACUUACUAGUGUCUAGUCAUUAGUUAGGUUUAUGUAACCAGUGUCUUACUAGUGUCCAGUCAUUAGGUUUAUGUUACCAGUGUCUAACUAGUGUCCAGUCAUUAGGUUUAUGUAACCAGUGUCUUACUAGUGUCUAGUCAUUAGGUUUAUGUAACCAGUGUCUUACUAGUGUCUAGUCAUUAGGUUUAUGUAACCAGUGUCUUACUAGUGUCCAGUCAUUAGUUAGGUUUAUGUAACCAGUGUCUUACUAGUGUCCAGUCAUUAGGUUUAUGUAACCAGUGUCUUACUAGUGUCUAGUCAUUAGGUUUAUGUAACCAGUGUCUUACUAGUGUCUAGUCAUUAGGUUUAUGUAACCAGUGUCUUACUAGUGUCUAGUCAUUAGGUUUAUGUAACCAGUGUCUUACUAGUGUCCAGUCAUUAGGUUUAUGUAACCAGUGUCUUACUAGUGUCUAGUCAUUAGGUUUAUGUAACCAGUGUCUUACUAGUGUCUAGUCAUUAGGUUUAUGUAACCAGUGUCUUACUAGUGUCUAGUCAUUAGGUUUAUGUAACCAGUGUCUUACUAGUGUCCAGUCAUUAGGUUUAUGUAACCAGUGUCUUACUAGUGUCCAGUCAUUAGUUAGGUUUAUGUAACGUGUCUUACUAGUGUCCAGUCAUUAGUUAGGUUUAUGUAACCAGUGUCUUACUAGUGUCUAGUCAUUAGGUUUAUGUAACCAGUGUCUUACUAGUGUCCAGUCAUUAGGUUUAUGUAACCAGUGUCUUACUAGUGUCUAGUCAUUAGUUAGGUUUAUAUAACCAGUGUCUUACUAGUGUCCAGUCAUUAGUUAGGUUUAUGUAACCAGUGUCUUACUAGUGUCCAGUCAUUAGUUAGGUUUAUGUAACCAGUGUCUUACUAGUGUCUAGUCAAAAGGUUUAUGUAACCAGUGUCUUACUAGUGUCCAGUCAUUAGUUAGGUUUAUAUAACCAGUGUCUUACUAGUGUCCAGUCAUUAGUUAGGUUUAUGUAACCAGUGUCUAACUAGUGUCUAGUCAUUAGGUUUAUGUAACCAGUGUCUUACUAGUGUCCAGUCAUUAGUUAGGUUUAUGUAACCAGUGUCUUACUAGUGUCUAGUCAUUAGUUAGGUUUAUGUAACCAGUGUCUUACUAGUGUCUAGUCAUUAGGUUUAUGUAACCAGUGUUUUACUAGUGUCUAGUCAUUAGGUUUAUGUAACCAGUGUCUUACUAGUGUCUAGUCAUUAGUUAGGUUUAUGUAACCAGUGUCCUACUAGUGUCCAGUCAUUAGGUUUAUGUAACCAGUGUCUUACUAGUGUCCAGUCAUUAGGUUUAUGUAACCAGUGUCUUACUAGUGUCCAGUCAUUAGUUAGGUUUAUGUAACCAGUGUCUUACUAGUGUCUAGUCAUUAGGUUUAUGUAACCAGUGUCUUACUAGUGUCCAGUCAUUAGUUAGGUUUAUGUAACCGGUGUCUUACUAGUGUCUAGUCAUUAGGUUUAUGUAACCAGUGUCUUACUAGUGUCUAGUCAUUAGGUUUAUGUAACCAGUGUCUUACUAGUGUCCAGUCAUUAGUUAGGUUUAUGUAACCAGUGUCUUACUAGUGUCUAGUCAUUAGGUUUAUGUAACCAGUGUCUUACUAGUGUCCAGUCAUUAGUUAGGUUUAUGUAACCAGUGUCUUACUAGUGUCUAGUCAUUAGUUAGGUUUAUGUAACCAGUGUCUUACUAGUGUCCAGUCAUUAGGUUUAUGUAACCAGUGUCUUACUAGUGUCCAGUCAUUAGGUUUAUGUAACCAGUGUCUUACUAGUGUCCAGUCAUUAGUUAGGUUUAUGUAUCCAGUGUCUUACUAGUGUCCAGUCAUUAGGUUUAUGUAACCAGUGUCUUACUAGUGUCUCGUCAUUCGUUAGGUUUAUGUAACCAGUGUCUUACUAGUGUCCAGUCAUUAGGUUUAUGUAACCAGUGUCUUACUAGUGUCUAGUCAUUAGUUAGGUUUAUGUAACCAGUGUCUUACUAGUGUCCAGUCAUUAGUUAGGUUUAUAUAACCAGAGUCUUACUAGUGUCUAGUCAUUAGGUUUAUGUAACCAGUGCCUUACUAGUGUCUAGUCAUUAGGUUUAUGUAACCAGUGUCUUACUAGUGUGUAGUCAUUAGGUUUAUGUAACCAGUGUCUUGCUAGUGUCCAGUCAUUAGUUAGGUUUAUGUAACCAGUGUCUUACUAGUGUCCAGUCAUUAGGUUUAUGUAACCAGUGUCUUACUAGUGUCUAGUCAUUAGGUUUAUGUAACCAGUGUCUUACUAGUGUCUAGUCAUUAGGUUUAUGUAACCAGUGUCUUACUAGUGUCUAGUCAUUAGGUUUAUGUAACCAGAGUCUUACUAGUGUCCAGUCAUUAGUUAGGUUUAUGUAACCAGUGUCUUACUAGUGUCUAGUCAUUAGUUAGGUUUAUGUAACCAGUGUCUUACUAGUGUCUAGUCAUUAGGUUUAUGUAACCAGUGUCUUACUAGUGUCUAGUCAUUAGUUAGGUUUAUGUAACCAGUGUCUUACUAGUGUCUAGUCAUUAGUUGGGUUUAUGUAACCAGUGUCUUACUAGUGUCCAGUCAUUAGUUAGGUUUAUAUAACCAGUGUCUUACUAGUGUCUUGUCAUUAGUUAGGUUUAUAUAACCAGUGUCUUACUAGUGUCCAGUCAUUAUUUAGGUUUAUGUAACCAGUGUCUUACUAGUGUCUAGUCAUUAGUUAGGUUUAUGUAACCAGUGUCUUACUAGUGUCUAGUCAUUAGGUUUAUGUAACCAGUGUCUUACUAGUGUCUAGUCAUUAGUUAGGUUUAUGUAACCAGUGUCUUACUAGUGUCUAGUCAUUAGGUUUAUGUAACCAGUGUCUUACUAGUGUCCAGUCAUUAGUUAGGUUUAUGUAACCAGUGUCUUACUAGUGUCUAGUCAUUAGUUAGGUUUAUGUAACCAGUGUCUUACUAGUGUCUAGUCAUUAGUUAGGUUUAUGUAACCAGUGUCUUACUAGUGUCUAGUCAUUAGGUUUAUGUAACCAGUGUCUUACUAGUGUCCAGUCAUUAGUUAGGUUUAUGUAACCAGUGUCUUACUAGUGUCUAGUCAUUAGUUAGGUUUAUGUAACCAGUGUCUUACUAGUGUCUAGUCAUUAGGUUUAUGUAACCAGUGUCUUACUAGUGUCUAGUCAUUAGGUUUAUGUAACCAGUGUCUAACUAGUGUCUAGUCAUUAGGUUUAUGUAACCAGUGUCUUACUAGUGUCUAGUCAUUAGGUUUAUGUAACCAGUGUCUUACUAGUGUCCAGUCAUUAGUUAGGUUUAUGUAGCCAGUGUCUUACUAGUGUCUAGUCAUUAGGUUUAUGUAACCAGUGUCUUACUAGUGUCCAGUCAUUAGUUAGGUUUAUGUAACCAGUGUCUUACUAGUGUCUAGUCAUUAGUUAGGUUUAUGUAACCAGUGUCUUACUAGUGUCCAGUCAUUAGUUAGGUUUAUGUAACCAGUGUCUUACUAGUGUCUAGUCAUUAGUUAGGUUUAUGUAACCAGUGUCUUACUAGUGUCCAGUCAUUAGGUUUAUGUAACCAGUGUCUUACUAGUGUCCAGUCAUUAGUUAGGUUUAUGUAAACAGUGUCUUACUAGGGUCCAGUCAUUAGUUAGGUUUAUGUAACCAGUGUCUUACUAGUGUCCAGUCAUUAGUUAGGUUUAUGUAACCAAUGUCUUACUAGGGUCCAGUCAUUAGUUAGGUUUAUGUAACCAGUGUCUUACUAGUGUCUAGUCAUUAGGUUUAUGUAACCAGUGUCUUACUAGUGUCCAGUCAUUACUUAGGUUUAUGUAACCAGUGUCUUACUAGUGUCCAGUAAUUAGGUUUAUGUAACCAGUGUCUUACUAGUGUCCAGUCAUCAGGUUUAUGUAACCAGUGUCUUACUAGUGUCCAGUCAUCAGGUUUAUGUAACCAGUGUCUUACUAGUGUCUAGUCAUUAGGUUUAUGUAACCAGUGUCUUACUAGUGUCCAGUCAUUAGUUAGGUUUAUGUAACCAGUGUCUUACUAGUGUCCAGUCAUUAGGUUCAUGUAACCAGUGUCUUACUAGUGUCUAGUCAUUAGGUUUAUGUAACCAGUGUCUUACUAGUGUCCAGUCAUCAGGUUUAUAUAACCAGUGUCUUACUAGUGUCCAGUCAUUAGUUAGGUUUAUGUAACCAGAGUCUUACUAGUGUCCAGUCAUUAGGUUUAUGUAACCAGUGUCUUACUAGUGUCCAGUCAUUAGGAUUAUGUAACCAGUGUCUUACUAGUGUCCAGUCAUCAGGUUUAUGUAACCAGUGUCUUACUAGGGUCCAGUCAUCAGGUUUAUGUAACCAGUGUCUUACUAGGGUCCAGUCAUCAGGUUUAUGUAACCAGUGUCUUACUAGUGUCUAGUCAUUAGGUUUAUGUAACCAGUGUCUUACUAGUGUCUAGUCAUCAGGUUUAUGUAACCAGUGUCUUACUAGUGUCCAGUCAUUAGUUAGGUUUAUGUAACCAGUGUCUUACUAGGGUCCAGUCAUUAGUUAGGUUUAUGUAACCAGUGUCUUACUAGUGUCUAGUCAUUAGGUUUAUGUAACCAGUGUCUUACUAGUGUCCAGUCAUUACUUAGGUUUAUGUAACCAGUGUCUUACUAGUGUCCAGUCAUUAGGUUUAUGUAACCAGUGUCUUACUAGUGUCCAGUCAUUAGUUAGGUUUAUGUAACCAGUGUCUUACUAGUGUCUAGUCAUUAGGUUUAUGUAACCAGUGUCUUACUAGUGUCCAGUCAUCAGGUUUAUGUAACCAGUGUCUUACUAGUGUCCAGUCAUUAGUUAGGUUUAUUUAACCAGAGUCUUACUAGUGUCCAGUCAUUAGUUAGGUUUAUGUAACCAGAGUCUUACUAGUGUCCAGUCAUUAGGAUUAUGUAACCAGUGUCUUACUAGUGUCCAGUCAUCAGGUUUAUGUAACCAGUGUCUUACUAGUGUCCAGUCAUCAGGUUUAUGUAACCAGUGUCUUACUAGUGUCCAGUCAUUAGUUAGGUUUAUGUAACCAGUGUCUUACUAGUGUCCAGUCAUUAGGUUUAUGUAACCAGUGUCUUACUAGUGUCUAGUCAUUAGGUUUAUGUAACCAGUGUCUUACUAGUGUCCAGUCAUUAGUAAGGUUUAUGUAACCAGUGUCUUACUAGUGUCCAGUCAUUAUGUUUAUGUAACCAGUGUCUUACUAGUGUCCAGUCAUUAGUUAGGUUUAUGUAACCAGUGUCUUACUAGUGUCCAGUCAUUAGUUAGGUUUAUGUAACCAGUGUCUUACUAAUGUCCAGUCAUUAGGUUUAUAUAACCAGUGUCUUACUAGUGUCCAGUCAUUAGUUAGGUUUAUGUAACCAGUAUCUUACUAGUGUCCAGUCAUUAGGUUUAUAUAACCAGUGUCUUACUAGUGUCCAGUCAUUAGUUAGGUUUAUGUAACCAGUGUCUUACUAGUGUCCAGUCAUUAGUUAGGUUUAUGUAACCAGUGUCUUACUAGUGUCUAGUCAUUAGUUAGGUUUAUGUAACCAGUGUCUUACUAGUGUCCAGUCAUUAGUUAGGUUUAUGUAACCAGUGUCUUACUAGUGUCUAGUCAUUAGUUAGGUUUAUAUAACCAGUGUCUAACUAGUGUCCAGUCAUUAGUUAGGUUUAUGUAACCAGUGUCUUACUAGUGUCUAGUCAUCAGGUUUAUGUAACCAGUGUCUUACUAGUGUCCAGUCAUUAGUUAGGUUUAUGUAACCAGUGUCUUACUAGUGUCUAGUCAUUAGGUUUAUGUAACCAGUGUCUUACUAGUGUCUAGUCAUUAGGUUUAUGUAACCAGUGUCUUACUAUUAAUCUUCCUCUCCUCUCCUCCUCUCUUCCUCCUCUUCCUCUCAUCUCCUCCUCUCCUCUCUCCCCCUUUCGCUUCCUCCUCCCUCCCACUCCUCUGUCACCAUCUCUCCACCUCCCCUUCUCUUUCCCCCUCUCCCUUCCUCCUCCCUCCCCCUCCUCUCUCACCAUCUCUCCACCUCCCUUUCUCUCCCCCUCUCCCUUCCUCCUCCCUCCCCCUCCUCUCUCACCAUCUCUCCACCUCCCUUUCUCUCCC